GAAGGUGGCCUGUGAGGGUUGCUGGAGGUAUCAGAAGUGCGAAUGCUGACAUAAGUAACGAUAAAGCGGGUGAAAAGCCCGCUCGCCGGAAGACCAAGGGUUCCUGUCCAACGUUAAUCGGGGCAGGGUGAGUCGACCCCUAAGGCGAGGCCGAAAGGCGUAGUCGAUGGGAAACGGGUUAAUAUUCCCGUACUUGGUGUUACUGCGAAGGGGGGACGGAGAAGGCUAUGUUGGCCGGGCGACGGUUGUCCCGGUUUAAGCGUGUAGGUGUGUGUUCCAGGUAAAUCCGGUUCACUUUAACACUGAGGCGUGAUGACGAGGCACUACGGUGCUGAAGCAACAAAUGCCCUGCUUCCAGGAAAAGCCUCUAAGCAUCAGGUAACACGAAAUCGUACCCCAAACCGACACAGGUGGUCAGGUAGAGAAUACCAAGGCGCUUGAGAGAACUCGGGUGAAGGAACUAGGCAAAAUGGUGCCGUAACUUCGGGAGAAGGCACGCUGACACGUAGGUGAAGUGAUUUACUCAUGGAGCUGAAGUCAGUCGAAGAUACCAGCUGGCUGCAACUGUUUAUUAAAAACACAGCACUGUGCAAACACGAAAGUGGACGUAUACGGUGUGACGCCUGCCCGGUGCCGGAAGGUUAAUUGAUGGGGUCAGCGCAAGCGAAGCUCCUGAUCGAAGCCCCGGUAAACGGCGGCCGUAACUAUAACGGUCCUAAGGUAGCGAAAUUCCUUGUCGGGUAAGUUCCGACCUGCACGAAUGGCGUAAUGAUGGCCAGGCUGUCUCCACCCGAGACUCAGUGAAAUUGAACUCGCUGUGAAGAUGCAGUGUACCCGCGGCAAGACGGAAAGACCCCGUGAACCUUUACUAUAGCUUGACACUGAACAUUGAGCCUUGAUGUGUAGGAUAGGUGGGAGGCUUUGAAGUGUGGACGCCAGUCUGCAUGGAGCCGACCUUGAAAUACCACCCUUUAAUGUUUGAUGUUCUAACGUGGACCCGUGAUCCGGGUUGCGGACAGUGUCUGGUGGGUAGUUUGACUGGGGCGGUCUCCUCCUAAAGAGUAACGGAGGAGCACGAAGGUUGGCUAAUCCUGGUCGGACAUCAGGAGGUUAGUGCAAUGGCAUAAGC
rnacentral:rRNA from 1 species